CCUCCUCUCGUAGUGGGUUUCCUUGGAAGCUGAUCAGCUUGAAGGAUACUAAUUGAAGAAUGGUAAUCAUCUUUACAGUGACCUGAUAGACGUGCAGUCUUUGACAAGAGAACGCUCGAAGAAAAGACAUUCCGAAACCCGUACAACAGUAUUUUCACAAACUCUACAAUGACUUGAUGGUCGCAAAACAUUGACAAGCUGAGCCGUGCGUAAAGCCUGGGCUUGUUGAGGAACCUCAAUACAUUCGAGAAACCAACAUGAAGACCAGGACUUUUCAGGCUCAACUAAUGCCAUCAAGAACGUUCCUGGUCGGACGAAUCCUUAAGAGAGGUUGCCCAACGCCAAGUUCGUCAUCUCCGUGGCCAGAAAGACGGAUGGUCGUGUCAGAGGAUCUAGUGUUUACCAAGGCACGAAUGAUAAGUUUUGCAUGCAUGUUUUUCAUGAGAAGGCGAUCGAAAACUUUUUCUUGAACUACAGGGUAUGUGUCAAACAUCUCGAACGUCAGUUCACUUGUAUUGUAACUUAAUUAAAUUUGUGUAUCGUCUGUAUAGACUGGUUCAGAAUGUGGUAGUAGAUUGAGUGUGGUAGAAGAUUCAGAGUGUAAAACAUUUGCAACAUUAGGAUAGGAUUAAUUUGUUAUUAGCAUGAUGGAAAGUUAAUGAUUUGUGAUUUUUUUCUUUUCUAUAUCUUGAACUGAAUGUGCAAUUUCUUUUGUUUGCUAGCGGCAUUGUCGGCAGGAAUACUUACAAUCUCUUGGCCGGUGAAUAGGUGCUUUGAGUGUGUUUUGUUGAUAUCAUGAGUGAUGUUGUUGGUGGGGGGUUGGGGCGUUUUGUGAGUGGCGGCUUCUUUUGCACACAGGACUUUAGUCGGUUUCUGUGGUGUGCAGGCUCGAUGUGUAGCUGUUUCGGUUUCUGUGAUUGUGCUGAUGGCCGGGGUUGUGUUCGGAGUUACUGCGAGGUUCCGUCCUCUGGAAAACAGGGACUUCUCUAGUUCUGUAAGUUUAUGGCUGCCUGGGUUCUUCUACCGCCUGUCGUCUUUUCUGCCUUGUGUGGCGGUCUAUCGGCCGGGAACCUAGACCAUUACAUAAGCUGCCCUGUGUCGUACUCUUGGGUCCCGGACCAAGACGACGGCACAGGGACAGAAAGGAAGACAAGCGAUUGAAGAGCCGAAGCUGUUAUGAACUAACAGAACUAGGGAAGUCUCUGUUCUCUAAAGGACGGAACUUUGCAGUAACUCCGGAUGCAAUCUUGGUCAUCGGCACAGUCACAGAAAUCGAAUCAGCCAUAUAUUGGGCCUGUAUACCGCAGAAACUGGCUGAAGCGCUGUGAGCAGAAGUAGUCACUGCUGUCAAAAUGCUCUAAUCAACCACCAGUUACAUUAUUCAGGAUGUCAACAAAACGUACUCAACGCCUUGUCACUAACCAAGAAAUUGCGAUUCUCCCCGUUGACAGUGUCACAGGUAGACAGAGGGAAUUGUACAUUCAGUUUUAAGCUCCAAAUACAAAUCAUUAACUCCCUAUCAUGCCACCAUCAGUAGCAUUUCUGGAAAUGAAAAAGUAAAACCUUUGUAUUUGAAUUAUUCUAUGCUUACUUUGACAGAGAGAAGGGCAUAAACAAGAACUUUAUGUACACGUCAGUCUUUUCCAGACUUUGCACAAUACAAAAUGUAAAGCCUAAACCCAGCUUUACAACCAUCAUACAUGUAUAUGGUGUUUAUGCACGCAUAGGUAAGCUUUACUGAGUGUUUUCACAGUCGUUCCUCAACUUCCUUGGUAAAGUCAGUUUUCGUCUGUUGGGAAACGUAAUGCGUUAACCUGGUUGUACAUGUAAUGCAUAACUGAAUUGCUUUUCACUGUUGUAUUUUGCUAGAUGGAUGUCCUAGCAUAUUUUUGUACAUAUAUAGUAGAAGUCACACCAGUCACAAUUGUAUGGCUUCUCCAUGUCUGUAUGUUGGAAUUGAGUUCUGUAUCCACUCCCGCACAUGAAGGAGUUUUCACCAGUGCAGUGUUUCGUUGUGAAAAGUGGAUUUCUAUGCAGCAGAAUAGUCGUGUAAAUGUUAAUGUUUCUCCUGUAUGGGGUCUCAUAUGUUGUGAUAAGUGAGACUGCACUCUCCACACAUGUAGGGUUUUUCAAAACUUUGUUCAGCUAGUUGUUAGAUUUCUGUGUAACAUAAUAGUCGCACUGGUGACACUUGUAUCCGCUUGUCUCAAAUGCAUCAAUUGUAUUAUCCAGCAGAAGGUGUCUGCAAAUAAAAUAUUUCUUGUUUUGUGUUCUUUAUUACUAGAUCGUCUGACUGAAAGUCUUUUGUUCUCACUUAGCCUUUUCAUUUCAUGUAUUUCGCCUGUAUUCUGGUACAAGACUGGCCACCUUGUCCUAGAAUGAAUGCAAAAUACAUGAAUACUGGCUUUGAGAGCAAAAUUCUUUUUUGUAUAUUUUGUAAUUUCAAGUCAAAACUAAUAAAGAGAGACUGUGGGCUGACUUUAUCAAACUUCAUAAAAAAAUUAGUUACAUGUCUAUUCAGGAAAGAAGCGCAAGCCUAAAAUGUUGAUUUUUUUUCCUCAAUCAGUAUACUAUUUCAGAUACAAUGUCAAAUCUCUUACUAGCCAGAUAUGCUGUUAAAUAAUUGUUACUAAUGUAUUCGAACAACAUCUAAACACGCUUGCAAUUGUACAUAUAGUAAAAUGAAACUAUGCAUGUACCACUCAGAUAUGCUUCUACAUGGUCAAAUGUCACGGUUUGUUUGCUCAGCUUUAAGCCUUUCUAUUCCGUGAUGUUGAAGCUAAUCUAGUAUCUAGAUAAUGCUUGUAACCAGUAGCUUUUGUUAACGUUUUUGUAUAAAAGUUAAUUGGCUUAAGUCUUUUGUUCACACUUUAAGCUCUUUCAUUUCGUGUAUUUUGCGGCUAUUCCAGCACAAGACUGGCCACCUUGUCCCGGAAUAAAAGCAAAAUGCAUGGAAUACGGGCUUUGACAGCAAAAUCCUUUUUCCUCUGAAAUAGUCUCUGGGUUUAUGGAGAUGUCAGAAAUUUGCUGGGAUAUCUUUGUGACCCGAAAAACACAUUGUGCACCUUGUUCACAGAAUAAAUGGUAUUGAAUAGCUUGUUUCAUCUAUGCGGAAAAGGUAUUGUAAUAAAGUUGAAAUUUCAAUG